rnacentral:lncRNA from 1 species
UAAAAGAGACACAUUUCCAGGCAGUUGGCCACACUUACUGCAUGCAGGACACUGCACUAGGUCUUGGAAAAGAUAAAAGAGAAGAUGGAAUCGAGUUCCUGACCAGAGAAAUGAGUGGAUCGCGAUCACUGAAAAAAAGAGAAGGGUAAAUAUAGCAUAGUUCUGUCCUGUGUCUAGGGCUGUGUCCCAUGUAAUGACAGCCUUCACAUGAGUUUUCGUAUGUUGGUGUUUUUCAGAUACUGAAGCACAAAUCCUUCUAAUUUAGGAAAUGAGAAGAAUUGAGUAAAGAGCUCCCAAUAGAGUCCAAACCCAUGGUCAGAAACCAGGAAGGUUAAAUAGAAGAGUCCAUUUCCUCUGGCCUCCUUCUCUCUGGACACAUCCUUGUGAAGAAGCUGAGGAGACACAGCCAGACAAGUCCUGGACAUGAGUGAAGCAGGCACCAAGGAGGGGAUGGGAAGGCAACCAGGGCACAGAAAAGGCUAAGAAAUGUCUGGCUGUUGCAAGGGAGUGCUCAUCUCUCCUUUUCCUGUUGAAGAGCGGAGAAAAGCCUGCUCCUAUGCUGCUCCAAAUAGUGGCCUGGUUUGGUGGGCGAUGGACGGAGACCCGGAGAAGAUCCACACAGCAUCAUGACCAAGUGCUACCUCAUCCCAGUUGAGCAUCUUCACCUUUUUCUUUCCAGCAGUUUAGGCUUAUUUCUAUCUUUCUCCUUCUUAAAGCCCUCCCCACACACUUUUUUUCUUGGAUUUUUCUACUCCUCAACAUUUUCAUUACCAAAAACCUAAGGAUACAACUAGAAAGCCUCCAUUUAAAUGACAUUCAGUCUCAAGUAUGUUAUGUGCAUCUUAGAGGAGACCUGGCAACCCUGUUCACCUGAGCCCCUCUCUCCUCAGAGCAGAGAGACCACCUCAUAAUUUGUUCCCCCAUGAAGAACACUAGAAAGGAGGUCUAAGUUAAAUCUUGUAAAUUGUCAUUUUUAAUAGCCAACAUUUAUUGAGCAGCUACCACCAUGCCCAAGCACAGGUCUGAGUGCUUUAUGUAUAUUCUCUUAUUUAGUAAUCCUCACAUCAGCCGUAAGAAGUAGGUGCCAUUAUGAUGUCCAUGUACAAUGGAGUAAAUUAAUCCACAAAAAGAGUAAAAACCUUGCACUAAAUCAUACAUCCAGGAGGUGGUGACACUAAGACAAAAACUCAGGGAAUCUGGUCCCACAUUCCAAAUUUGGAAUAGAUCUACUCUGAUUCCUUAUCCUUAACAUGAAGAAGGCCCAGUAAUUUCAAGUAACUUGUUCAAGGUCACUCAACUGAUUAAUUCUGACUCAAGAGAUGCUGAUACUUCUUCCCUGUCUGUCUGCUAAAUGUACAUGUUCCCCAGGGAUUCUUGGAUCCACUUGUCACUCUGUAGUGAAAUACACGUGUCACUCUACAUUACACCUUGAGAAUCCUACAUGUGGAGUACUCCCACAUUCAUAUCUCAAUGUCUUUCCAAAGUUCCAUUUCCACCAGAACCCUAAAAUUUCUCUAUCUGGAUUGUCCCACGGCAGCUCAGACCAAGUUAAAUUCAAUAUUCUCCCAACUCCUCCAACUUACACUUAGUUUUUUUCCUUCUCUGGUAUUUGUAUUAUGAUAUCAUUGUCUACACAAUUGCCCAAGAAAGAACUUCAAUCAUGCAGGAGCCCUCUUUCCUUAUCACUGUAUUCUAAUCAGCUAGUCAAUCCUGUCAGUUCUUCCUUCUAAGUCGUCUUCAACUCCAUCAUCUACUCUCCCUGCAUUGCUCUGAUUCAGAUAGUCCUUUGUAAUGUAUUGUUUUUCUCUUGUUACAGCCUCGUUUAUGCAAUAUAUAUUUACUAAGUGUUUAUGCUAAGCCAUGAAGGAAACUAACUAAACAAAGGGAUAGAGAAUGAAGGGGGAAGACUUAAUAUGAGAGGCAGAUCUAGGAGGGUCCUUCUCAGGAGAUGACAUUUAAGACAGGACACAAUAAUAGGAAGGAAUACAAAUGUUAACACCCGGGGCUUUCCCUGUUCCAGGGAGAGUGGGGAGCAGAUACAACAAUCCCAAGGUGUGAAAGAUCCAGAGUGUUUGAGGAACUGGAAGAAAAUCCAUGUGCCUGGAAAGAGCAAUGUGAUUGGGCCUAAAGAUGAUAGGAGGUGUGGUGCAAGAGAUAAGCAGGGGUCACAUGAUGGAAAGUGUUCCAAACCAUGAUGAUGUCUCUGGAUUUAUUUUAAGUGUGAUAGGAAAAAACUGGGGACUUUAGAGGUGGAGAGUGACGGCAUCUGAUUUAUGUGUUUUUAAGAUCAGCUUGGCUGCUUCUGUCUUGAGAAUAGACUAUAGAGACUAUACAGAGGCAAGAUGGGAAGCAAGGAAGCCAGGCAUGAUAUCCUGGUGGCUCUGAUGGAGACGGUGAAAAGCGAUUGUUGAAUAAGAGAUAUGUUUUGAAGGAAGAGUUGAAAAAGACUUGAUGAUAGGUCCAUUUGGUAGGCUCUGCUUGGGAUUUUGGCCAAAGCAAAUGGGUGAAUGAUAGGGAAUUUCUGGGAGAGAAUUAAAAAUUAUCUUUUGGACUUAAGUCAUAUAGUCAAUUGGGUGAAUGAGUCUGGAAGUUGCUGGAGCUGGAGACUUGGGAGUUAUGUGUGCACAUGUAGUAAUUAAAAUCCUGGGGUUGGAUGAGUUUCCUUAGGGAGGGAGAGUGUUCAGAGACAAAAGAACAAAAGUUUAAGAUACUGAGCUCCAGCGCCCCCAGACAUUCAGAGGUUAGGAAAUGGAGGAUCCAGCAAAGGAGAUUGAGAAAAAGUAACCAGUGGAAUAAGAAAAAAAUCCCAAGAGGGUGUGUGUGCCAGAAUCUGAGGAAAGAAAUGUGAAGAAGGAGGAAAUGUUUAUGUCAAACAUGGCUGAGAGUUUGAAUAAGUGGGAACUGACAAGUGACAAUUGGAUUUGACAAAACGAGGCUGAUGGAAAAUAAAUAAAGCAGAGACAUAGUGAAGAUUAGGCUGGGUUAACUGCUCUGUCAGACAGGGAAGCCCUGAUCCAGCAAAGAGCAGCUUAGGUCUGUGGUACUGGCUCCAGAUGAACCACCCAACACAUAGUUUGAGCUUUAUAAACUGUAUUGUGUAUAAGUAUAUAUAUGAGGAAAGUGAUCAAUUAUACAGGAUUCUCUGAAGCAAAUAAAUAGAGAAUCAAAGGUAGAUUUGACAGCUUUUAGAAGGAAGAUCUGACAGGAUUUUAUAUACUUUCCCUUUGAAGUGAUAUUAUUUGUCUCUUUGUCUCAAGAUUGAGUUCCUUGACAGGGCAGGGACUGUGUAUUACCAUCUCUGGGUCCUCAGUAUCCAGCACAUAAGACAACUGUCCACAGAAACAGCCUGUAAAGGGAGCUGACUUUCGCUGAUGGCUCAUAUUGGUCAAGGUAGACUAACUUUUGUAACAAAAAACCCUGCCACCUCAUUAGGUAAACACGAUAAAAGUGUAUUUCUGCAUCUGUCCAGAGUUCAAGACAGAUCAUAUGGGGAGAUGAGAGCUCUACUCCACAUGGAUGUUCUAGGGCCUCACUCUAUUCUGUAUUCAGCCAAGAGAUGGGGAAAAAGGGGUGGAAAUAUUGUGCAGAAGGUUUCUCAAGGGCCAAUUCUUCUCCUGGGUACCCAAGGGAGGCUGAGAAAUGUCAUCUAGCUGUGUCCCUAUGGGGAAAAGGAACCAGCAUUUGGUGAAAACACAACAGUUUCUCCCAUGUGACUCUUCUAAGCUUUGAGAUUCUGGGAAAGUCUAUUAAAGAUCAGCAUUGAUUCGAUCAGGGAUCCUACACAGUUGGCAGAAAAACUCUGGCCAGGUAGCCCUCCACCAGAUCCCCUGGGGCUUCAGGCUGGCAGAGAGGAAUGGCUGAAGGCUUUCCACACGAUCUUCCCCAUUCCUUCACUCUACAAACAUUAUUAAGCAUCACUUGGGAGUCAGAUACUGACAGUGCUAGACAGUGAGAAUGCAGUGAUGAGCACACAGUCUCCACUUUCUCAGGUCCUAAUCUAGUAGAAGAGAGAAAUAUGAAACAAAUAAUAUCAGUGCACUGACAUGAGAGGGAUUUGUACAAGCUGCUGUGGGAGAGGAGAGGAUGGGAUGGGAAAGGGGGAUUCCUGAUUAGACACCCCUACUCCCAGGGACCUGGGACCUCCAGGUUUCAGGAAUCUGCAUUAUCUCUUCCUUGUGAAAUUUUCUGAGCUCUCCCACUGGUUCUUUGAAAAAUGUUCUUGAGGACAUUUGAGAGAUACUUAUCACUCUAGCUGUUUUGAGAAAGAAAGGGACUUCAUGGGUUAGGGUUAGCUUCUUUUCUCCUCUUUUCCAGUCCCCGAGGGCCCUGGGAUACCAGAGUUGGCUGCCUCUCUUGUCUCUCUCUUUCUGAAGCUAAUGUGACUCCGGAUCCAGACACUGCCUAUUUUGAACUCUUUCUGGCUAAAGAUUGCUGAAGUGUGAGGCAGAAAAAUGCAAGGAAGGAUCUCUGCAAAAAAACCUGGAAGGUUUUUUCCUGACCCUUGUGUGCUGGGCCACAAGUCCUUCUCUUCAAGGAGACACUACUGGGAGGUCAAAGUGGGUGACAGAACUUACUGAGACCUUGUGAUUUGUGAGGAAAACACGGAAAGGGUGUGUGGAUGCACAGAGUCAACUCAAAAUGGAUUCUGGGCUGUGGAAAUGUAUGCUACUAAGUAUCAGGCCCUCACCUCUCCUCAGACCCUCUUCCGCCUGAGUGAGCCCCCCAGCUAGGUGGGGAUCUUCUUGGACUAUGAGCCUGGAGAUUCUCCUUCUAUAGUGUGCCUCAUGGGUCCCACAUCCACACUUUCCCCUAGGCUUCCUUCACUGGGCCCCUCCACCCUUUCUUCUGCCUCUGGUUCUAUCACCCAACCCCUCUGACCAUCUGCCCCUGAGGUCAUCAGUCCCCAGACUUUCUCUCAAUUGAACCUCCAGGGGAGAACUGGGCGCUGGGGUUGAGGAGCCACUUCUAGGGACCACUCCUCCAGAGCUCCACCUGAGACAGCAGUGGAGGUGGAGCCCCUCUGACCUUUGCUCUCAGAGCUGUGGCCAUUUCUUUGUCAUUUCUCCAUGAGACUGGAAACAGGCUGGAGAGAGUUUGUAGUGCUCCAGGGUUACAUGGUGCAGAAGUCCAGAAAGGACAAUGCCACCCUACAGAGUCUUGUUAAGAGAGUCUCUCUGGUGCUGCCAUUACAGCUGGAAACUGGAAAAGGAACUUCAAGAGACAAGAAAUACUGGUGGAAAGACUAAAAACUAGUGGCCUGGAGAGUGAUCUUGUUACAGGGUCUUAACAUCAGCCCUGAUAUCAGUUCCCCCAAAUUGAACCCAGCGCAUAUGAGGUUAAAACUAAAACCCACCACCCCCUUUCCUGCUUCUCUAGCUCCACUCACAUGUAAAUACCUGUUUCUUUAAACUUUGACUCUUGGAGCUUUACAACUAAAUGGGAGUUACAAAUUGUUAAAAGCCCAGGUGGCCUGGAAUUGGAGGCACACUAAAGUUUAGCUAAUCAUGUGUCCUUGAAGUUUGCCUGGAAAGCUGCUGUGUCAAGAAUAUCAAGGAGCGGAGGCUUCCCAGACCUCAACUCCUGGACUCCUGGCACUCGAAUCCGAACCCGCCUCAAACAGGAGACAAGAGACAAAGGCGAAGGACGCCCACCUGCCAUCCUCCUAUCUCACCCUCCCCCCUCCACCGCCUUGCUGCAAGCAGCCUCUCAAGGCUGGUGGGAAAGCACUGAGCUGCACAAGCUACUUGUUCCCCCCUCCCCUACCCAAAACCCCAAAUAAAAAUCCCUACCCAUUCCUCAUCUGGGAGCUAGCAAUUUUUGAGGCAUGAGCCCUUGCUUUGCUCCCUGUGCCUGGCAUAGUAAAAACCUUUCC